GGGCGUAAAGUGUGCGCAGGCGGUUAUGCAAGACAGAGGUGAAAUCCCCGGGCGUCAACCUAGGGAACGUGCCUUUCGUUGACUGCAUAGCUAGAGUGCGGCGAGAGGGGGGAGUGGAAUUCCGCGUGUAGCAGUGAAAUGCGUAGAUAUGCGGAGGAACACCGAUGGCGAAGGCAAUCCCCUGGGCCUGCACUGACGCUCAUGCACGAAAGCGUGGGGAGCAAACAGGAUUAGAUACCCUGGUAGUCCACGCCCUAAACGAUGUCAAUUGGUUGUUGGGAGGGUUUCUUCUCAGUAACGUAGCUAACGCGUGAAGUUGACCGCCUGGGGAGUACGCCGCAAGGUUGAACU
rnacentral:rRNA from 1 species